GAAGCUCUAUAGCUGUUGCAGCUUGGAGGAACCCACAGGAGCUGAAUUAGGCCUUUGUGGGGACAAUCUCCAAAUGAGGACUUAGAGUUUGACAGUCAAAGUCCUAAGAAAAUGAUCAGAGUCCUGGGAAAGGGAGACAGUGAGGAGAUCCUGUCAGUAAAUUCCAGGUAGGAAGAGUGUGCUGACAAAGAGAUAGCAUGGAGAGACCAAGUAAUUAAGAGGUUAGCUUUCCAAGGAGGAGUAGCAGAACAAGCAAGUGAACCCCCCUGUGGAGGGGGGAAAAGCAGCCAAGUCUGAGAGGGACUGCUGGAAAUCUACUGACAAGAGGAGAUGAGGAGGAGAAGAUUCCUGUGAGGAGAUUCCAUCUGGAAAUCGCCCCCAGUGCAGACCCUACUGAUUGAAAGGAUGUGCAAAACUACAGAGCAGUCAAGAAGUAUAGAUGAGACUUCAGUUUUCUGGUGUAAAAACAAACCAAAAAACAUGCUGCAGACUAAUUAUCCAAUCUCAGCUCCUGUUUCUAGCUGAAGGGGAAAAAAUCGCAAGAGGACAAUAAACAGAAACAGUACUCUGUAAGCAGCAUAGACUGAAUAAUAUUCACUGCAGAAUUAACAUUCACAAGCAAAACUAUGGGCAUAUGUCCCCAAGUUUCUUAGCCACAUGUCAACAUGUUAUAAUCAGACAAUCCUCCCACAGGUCAGAACAAACUAAAGGUCACCUACUUAAAAUGCUAUCUGAAAAAAUCUCCAUGUAUAACAUAGGCUAUUCAACAAAGUCAAGUGCUCAUUUCAAAUGAGAUCAUUUUCAGCGCUACAAGUCCCUGACCGUGUCAAAGACAAGACCAAACUUUAGAGGGGAAAAAUUAUCCAAAAUCAGGUUGCUCAUGGGGUUGGGGCUGGAAAAAACAGAACAAAUCAUCAGGGGUGAAAGUAAAUUAAAGGACUUGCUGGUACACAGGUUGGCUGGGCUCCUAGGCAAGGUGGGGGAGGGCGGCUCUGUGCCCCCAGAAGGGGCAGGGCCUCAGAGGGAAGGGGCGGGACUGGGGCCAGACUCCCCCAGCCAGUCCUUCAGCACUACCUGGCCUGUGCUGCCCGGGGCACUGGCUGUGUACCAGCCUGUACUGGUGGCCACUUUCUUACCGGUACGCCGUACUGGCCCGUACCAACUUACUUUCACCUCUUCAAAUAAUAACCUUUCUACUCAGGCUUUAGAGAAGGCAUCUUAGGAUGGGGCAAAAGUUUGGAGGGCUACAGAUAAAAUUUAAGAGAACUAUCCAUGAAGGUCAGAAAACUUGGAGGACUUUCCCUAUCUCUUCUUUCCUUCCAAAUAGUGAUGACGAACUGGCAGACGCUGGGCAAGUUCAGGUUGAGUACCUUGUUGCCCCCUUCCUGUAAUAUUCCUUCCAUUACCAUAAAGAUUAGCAUGGGACACAGCUGUCUUAGAGCUGGGUCCCUAAGCAACAUCUACGCUGAUGUGCUCCAAAUCCCGGGGUGCCCAAGAUUGGGAUUAAUUGACCCAAGUUUCUUUGCAAACCGCGAUGUAUAACAUUCAGCUGGGAAACGUCAUACUGUGGUGCAGAACAGAGACAGCAGGACACCUGUGGCAUCCCUUUUUCUUAGGGCUGCAGGGCUGCAAAAGGAGGAGUAGUUGUUAUCAGAGAAGGAGACAAAGGGAUUCAGAAGUUGGAGGAGACAAAACGGUGAUCAGAAGAGGGUCACCAGCUCUGAGACUUGGAACAGAAGAAAUACUAGGACAAAAAUGUCAAAGAGUUACCCAAUUGCAUGUGAGAAGAGGGUGUUAGAUUUUAAACUGAAAGUGGCUGGCAACCUGCCAAGGUAAGAGCUAUUUCAUCUGCACCGAGGUCAUGUGUCAUAAAUGUCAGUCCCACGGGAGAAACAGAAGACAUUAAACAAAACCUAGGAGGACACUAGCUCUUUGCUUCCUGAUGUGCAGAGUGCUCCUGUGUUGAGAGAAGUAACACAUGCCCACCCAGUGAUUGCCAAUCAAAAUCACCAGGGGCAGCAAACAAGCUCCACGUGGUGAAUCCACCUCAGCAGGCCACUGCUGAAAGGACUGUUUUGAGAACAAAAGUGAUCAGAUAACCACUGAAGUUCAGACAGUUAUUGACCAGUAUCAAAUAAGAAUCAGAAUGUUUCACGUCAUCAAUUUCACAUUAUUGCCCCUGAUCUCCAUCCCUAGAUCUCUCUAUACAUUCCAUUAAUUAUUUGUAUUCAUGUGUGGUUGUUCUGGGGUUGUUUGUGUUUUAUUUUCAUUUGCAACAAAAAAAGGAUAGAAUAUUGGUCACUCCACCAACAUAGUAUACUAUGAAAGAAUUUGUAGCAUUUGGUAAAUUCCUGAGGACUCUGCUACUUUUGAAAUCCCACAUUUAAACAAUACAUAAGUUCAGCAGUAUUCACGCAAUAGAUAAUUCUCAUUAGCAUUACAGAACAAAACAGGCAGGCAACAGUAAGUCAGAUGGGGUGACUGGGAGUGGUGUAGAGUUUUAUGGCAAUGGGGAGCAGGCUGAGUCUCCUACCCGUUCAUUUCCAGACAUUUGUAAAAGGAAAUGUAAUGAGAGUUAGAUGGACACACUUUUAACCUGAACUCUUUUAAGCGAGUAUUUUGUUUGCAGGUCUAGAAUUAUAGACCAUUAGAGCUUGGCUCACUAUGAAAUGGAACCAACUCUAUAUCAAUCCCUACAAUUUCAAGGUCCAGGCCCAGAGAACCUGUCACACCUUUACUUGGCAGAGAGCACUUUUACAGCUAGUCAGGAAAUCAUCCUUUUUUCACAUGAAAAAGUUGGAAGAAAACUAAAAUUUUUCAUUUGUCAAAAUUCCUUUGGUUUUUGCUUUGUUUCCUGAAAAAACUGAUGUUUCCCCCCAAUUUAGAGCCUUUUUUAUAUAUAUAAACCUGAAAUGUUUUUGACAAAACUGGCAAGUCUUUCAUGAAAAAUUCUGAUCACUGAAGAACAAUUUUCCAAAAGAAAAUAACUGACAACAUUUUUGACCAGCUCAACGUAGAUAGCGCUCUCAGAUACAAUGGUGAUGAGCACAGUAUAAGGGCCUGAACAGAAUAGGACAGACACAGCACAUGUGACUCAGUUAAUCAAACUGAUUGCAUUUCAGCAAUGGAACUCUUCAGUGAAAUUAUGGCUUUUUACUAACACUCCACGAAGCAUACUUCAUCUUUUGCAUCUUUUACAUAGGAAGGAGCAAGUUUCCUUUCCAGUCAACUAAUUAUUAUGUAGACAUCUGUCAGAUGACAGCUCAAUGCAUUACACAAGACAAUAAAGUCAAUUAAUACCAUAGACUUGAAAUAAGGGUAAAUGUUGUAUUACUGAAGGGAGUUAGCUUAUGACCGCUUGAGAGAACAGCUUCACGGGAGCUUGAUCAAGAGUAUGGAACUCACUGUCAGAAGAAGUCAAAACAGCUGUAACUUUGUCGCAUUUAGAGCCAUAGGGAAUCCUGACCCUUCCACCCAGGCUCUCUCACAAUAGCACCUUCAUUCUAACAGAUCUGUUAAUUUAAAACCUAAACCCAAGGCCAGCUUCUUGGUGUUAUGGAAGGAAUAAAAAGAGCAUUGUCAUCUUUUAAGUAAUGGAAGGUGCUCAAAUGCUAUGGUGAUGGGGGCCAUUACAACAACUACCUCGAUAGAUAGAAAGCUUUUAUAAAAUUUCACAAGAAUGACAAUUUAAUCUGAGGUGAGACUAAAAAUUCACACCUUUUCUGCAGGACAAUUUUCUGCAAUUUUUAGCAGCGGCACCAUUCUCAUGGCAAUGCAGAGAGAUUUGAGAAUGGAAACAGCUGCCCUCGCCUGUGAAAUUCACCUUCCUUAUUAUGUGGAAAAGACUUAAAAGUUUGAGGGGAAAAUGAUGCUCUCUGUUAUCAUUGCUAAAAAUACGAUGUAUCACCAGCAGUGGGAAUUGUUUUCAAAUGGCAGUGUAUAGAUUUUGGAGCAGAGUCUCAGCCAAUGAAAAUUGUCAUAGCUCCAUUGAGUUCAACAGUGCUAAGACAAUGUAUACCAGCUGAGUCUCUACCCCUUUGAGCCCAGCUAAGCUCCCCUAGUUAUAUUUAUUCAAAUACCAACAGUCUGAUUUAUUGUUGAAAGCACUUUGUUGUGGGGCAGGAGGUUAGUGACAUAUAACACAAGGGGAGGUUACACAACAUUUUAGAUUUCAGAAAUGUUAAUAUCUUCUGCAUAUUUUCAUCACCUAAAAGGAAUUGGGGUGAUAAAUAGUAUUUUAACAUUACAAAUUCACUGCAAAGCACAAUCUCUGGAAAAUAACUUAUGGUAGCUCUUUCAGAAUUCACCAUUUUAUUUUAUUUUUUAUUGAGGAUUGUCUCCCUGCAGCUGUGGUAGGAGCCAUUUGUCAUUUGUUAUCUUAGACACUGUGCCUGCUAUCCAGGCUCUAGAAAUGUAUUUCAUCACAGAGCUGUCCAGCUAAAUGGAUGGUGUUUGUGUGUACUAAAUUUAUGGUUCAAUUACAAUCAAUCUUAUACUAUCAGCUCCCAGUGCAUGUAUACAAUUAAUACAAACAAAAUGAAGACCCAUCACGUCUGUGUCAUGCUGCUAAAAAGUGAACAAAGUUAAGUCAAUUCCCUCUUUAUCGGUAAUGGAACUGAGCAUAUGAUUUUAGAGUGUGAUGCUAUUUUCACCUGAGCUGAUGUAAUACAGAAGGGUACCAUUUUCUCUAGUAAAUUAGUAAUUUAUUCCAGUUUUGUAGGUUUAUGGCUGUAAUCCAUAUAAAACCUUGCACACAGCAAAGAUUUAGAAGUGUAGUUAUUGGGAGGCUGGUAUUUUUCAUCCCAGAGCAAGCUCAUGAACCUCAUUUGGGGUAAGGUUAUUCAAAGCCUGCAGAGAUGUGCUUGUCAUAACGGUACAAUUAAAUUAUCAGAAUACAGUAGCAUCCAGCUGAACAGCACAUCCUUUGCCUGUCCUACGAGAAUAUCUAAGUCAGGGAAAAUGAGAUCACCUUUGGUGUGACGAGUGGGACACAUCAGAUCCAGGUUUUAUUGAUAGAGGCUUGAGGAUACAACUGUAACUUAAAAAUCAUAAAACAAAUAUUUUGCAAUUAUUUACUUUUCCACAGAAAAUAUGCCUCAAAAUGGGCCAGUGAGUUUGUUGAGCUUCCUUGGUGUAUAAUAAAUUACCUUCUCCUUGACGUGAAUGACGUGUUAAAAAUGAACAGAACCUAAUUCUGCAAUGUGAUGUGUUGCAUCCAGGCUUGUAUCAUGCAUGUUAUAAAUCUGUGGAUUAGAUCCAAUUAUAUUUUACAGGCCGUUCCACGAAGGUUAGGAUUAAAAAACCUUAAAGUAUUCAACCUGAAGACUGCAAUUAACCAUGCAGAGUCCAGACCAAUUACACUGCUGUUUAAAACAAACAAAAAACAAACAAAUAAAAAACAAAAACCAGAUUUGUCAUGGAGAGAAUUUAUGGCUAUAAAUUAAUCCUGGCAACAUAUUUAGCCGCUUAGAAGAAAUCUCAAUAUGUGCCUGUAGAAUUAUAAUAAUACCCUCUUAUAGAACCUUUAUGUAUUUUCAUUCUCUGGUCCUGCAAAUAUCUGAGCUGUAAAGCAAAGCUUUCCUCCGUCCCCCUUACAACAAUGGUGAGUCAGUAUAGCUUGGCAAUGUUCCACAUUAUUUGAUAAUAGAUGUCACCUUGAUACUUCACCAAAAGCUCAUCUGCAAAUGUGUUUGUCCUGAACUAUAGUGCUCACAUCAGUUUUAGGCCCUAGUUAUAAUUACAUUGAUAAACCUUUUAUCAAUCAGCAAAUUGAUUCUGCAUAAUGCUUUAAUGCAGCUCUCAAUGACAUGUUACCAUGCUCCACUAAUAUACGGACACUCGUAGUAGCAGAUGAGGUCCCAGAACAUGCAGUGCAACAUAUUACACAAGCACUGGAAUACAUCAAUUUAAUUAAAUUCUUCCUCUUUGAGUUGAGGCCUAAGAGCCUUAUUCUGAUGAGCUUUUACAGUCGUGUCUUCUCAGGUCAGACUAGAUGAUCAUAAUGGUCCCUUCUAAUCUUAAAAUAUAAAUUCAUCUAGUUUUCCUCCGAUCUCUCUGGCCAUCCCUUUAAUUCCUCCUCUCCUUUCCCACUGUCAUGGGCAUCCAACAGGGCUCUGAUGUGGCUCCCUCCUCUUCUUACUUUACUCCCUUUCCUCAAAUACUUUCACGUCGUCAGUUACUGUUGAGGAUUCACAAAUCUACCUGUCCCUUCCUCAUCUGUCUGUCCAUUCAAUCCCAGCCUGUCUCUCUCACGUCUCUUCUUAUGUGUCUCCCCGUCAGCUCCAGCUUUCCACAGCAAAACUGAACUCCUUACCUGUGUUCUCCACUCUGCCAUUGUGUCACUCCUGUCACCAUCACCAUUCUCCUUAUCACUCAGGAUCAGAAUGGGGGUUGACCCUGGCCCCACAAAAACAGGCCAUAUUUACGGAUUGUUCUUUCUACCUCCAAAACAUUUCCAAAAUUCAGCCUCUCUUCUCUGUCCUUACAGCUAAACUCUUAUCUAUGACCAUAUAAUCACCCCUCCUCCCUGCCUUCCCCGGCACUCAUGUUGCCCUCCUCCAGGCCAGGCAAACAUUAUGCAUAGAAAUGUACAACUGAUUGUCUUGGAGAAAUAUAAACUACAUUUUUAAAAUGCUAACAAACAUUAAGCCGAGGCAAUGCACUGUAUGAUAGAGAAAAAAGCAUAUGCAGCAAGAAAGGUGAAGUGAAGGAAGAUGAAAGGAAAGAACUCAAAUUAGGCUGAUUUUAGUAAUAUUUCAAUUGUUUUUUUGAAUAUGAGAGAAAUGUAGAGCACAUACUCAAAUUCAUUGAUUUUUAAGAUUA